GGUGAGCGGCUCUCUCAGCCCUCCCUCGGCCUCCAUCUGCUCCUGGCGCAGACCCAGGGCCACGGGCUGGGCCAGGUGGCCGUGUGCCUUCCCAGGUGGCCCUGGCAGGCGUGGAGGCCAGGGUGCUCCUGACACUCAUCUGUUGGCCUGGGACUGUACUCAGCAGGGGCCACCCCAAAUCCCCUUUCAAAUGAACCUAAAUCUCCGUCACCGAGGGCAGUCCCCAGCCCAACACGGAGCGCUCAGCCUGAGGAGAGAGGAGCUCUGUGCUGACCCUAAGCGGGUCCUUCACUAGUUGUAUCACCUUGGGGGUUUACGGGCUUGACCUCCUGAAGUCAAGGGAUCUAUGGACUCCAGCUGAAGAAAUGGGAGAAGAAUCCAGCCAGGACCCCUCCUCCUCCGAAGACCAGCCUGGGCUGAUCCGACUUCUGUGCCAGAGCCCGCCCAGCUUUCCCCUGGGUCUCUAAAGCCAGU